GACGAACGCUGGCGGCGUGCUUAACACAUGCCAGUCGAACGGAAAGGCCCUGCUUUUGUGGGGUGCUCGAGUGGCGAACGGGUGAGUAACACGUGAGUAACCUGCCCUUGACUUUGGGAUAACUUCAGGAAACUGGGGCUAAUACCGGAUAGGAGCUCCUGCUGCAUGGUGGGGGUUGGAAAGUUUCGGCGGUUGGGGAUGGACUCGCGGCUUAUCAGCUUGUUGGUGGGGUAGUGGCUUACCAAGGCUUUGACGGGUAGCCGGCCUGAGAGGGUGACCGGCCACAUUGGGACUGAGUUACGGCCCAGACUCCUACGGGAGGCAGCAGUGGGGAAUAUUGCACAAUGGGCGGAAGCCUGAUGCAGCAACGCCGCGUGCGGGAUGACGGCCUUCGGGUUGUAAACCGCUUUCGCCUGUGACGAAGCGUGAGUGACGGUAAUGGGUAAAGAAGCACCGGCUAACUACGUG
rnacentral:rRNA from 1 species